GCCAGUGUAGUGCCUUUGGACCAGUGUAGUGUCCGCAGGCGGUCUCGAGGUAGGUGAAUAGCUAGCCACCUCCCUAGGAGACUUACAGACGUGAGACAGUGAGCGAGCCCCGCGAGUUCGCUGAGAGAUUGGGUGACCUGAUGAGUUGCAUUGUUGUUUUGUAUGAUAGCUUGGCACUUAGCCUUAGCCUUAUUGAUGAACCUAGUAGCAUGGUAGCUAACCUUUACUAUGAGUUACAUCAACAUUGAGUAUAGUCGCUUGGUAGUCAGAAUAGUGGAUUUGCCUACAUACAGUGAGUGGACAUACUAUUCUUUCACCUAUGAGAUUUGAGUGAGAUAGCCCUGUACCUAGUCGAGAUUGAGUCGAACCAUCGAGAUGUGAGUCGGGCAAAGAGCGGGGUAGCUCUUUGCCUAGGACCUUCGAGAUGUGAGUCGGACCUACGAGUUAUGAGUCGGGCAAGGAGCGGGGUAGCUCUUUGUCUAGGACCCUUGAGAUAUGAGUUAGGCGGGAAAAGAGCGGGGUAGCUCUUUACCUACUGGAUUUGAGACCUUAGGCAAGAUUGGCCUAGUCGAUUGGGUUGUAACAGGAUUAGCAUAAGUGGAUUGCAUUCAUACCAUGAUUAGACAUAGUAAACUGCAUAACUAUGUUGUAGUUGUAUUCAUUACACUGUUGAAACAUACUAGCAUGAUAGUAGGAUAUUGCUAGAUGAUGUGACAUGCAUUCCUUGCAUUUGAUGGCAUAGUAGAUAUAGUAGCANCUUGCGUUCGCCGAGAGAUUGGGUAAUCGGAUGAAUGAUUUCGUUAUUGAGCAUGGUAGUAUGAUAGCCAGCCUUCUUACUAUGAGUUCCAUGCAUGCAUCAUACUGGAUUGAGGCAUUGAUAGAUCAUAGUUCAU
rnacentral:lncRNA from 1 species